UACGUAGGGGGCUAGCGUUGUCCGGAAUCAUUGGGCGUAAAGCGCGCGUAGGCGGCCCGGUAAGUCCGCUGUGAAAGUCAAAGGCUCAACCUUUGAAUGUCAGCGGAUACUGCCGGGCUAGAGUCCGGAAGAGGCGAGUGGAAUCCUGGUGUAGCGGUGGAAUGCGCAGAUAUCAGGAGGAACACCAACGGCGAAGGCAGCUCGCUGGGACGGUACUGACGCUGAGACGCGAAAAAGCGUGGGGAGCAAACAGG
rnacentral:rRNA from 1 species